CUCGGCAAAUUAUCCUCAUAAGUUUGACGACAAGAGGAACCGUCUUAAAUUUAAAUGUAUUUAUUAAGAUGGUGGCACAAAAUCGGAGGCCCCGACUGUUUACUAAAAACACAAUUCAGAGCAAUGAUUAAGAUAAUAGUAUUCUGAAUGAAAUUUGCCCAAUGCCAUUAAUAUAAGAGAGGUAAUGAAUUAAAGUUACUAAUCGAAAGUCUGGUUAAUAGCGGUCUUAACUAUGAGGAUCCAAAGGUAGCAAAAUCAGUUGGCCAUUAAAUGUGGUCUGGUAUCAAUAGUGUAACGAUGGUCUCACUGUCUCUACAACUUGCUCAGUGAAAUUGAAUUACCCGUGCAGAUGCGGGUUGCCUCCAGGUGGACGGGAAGACCCUAUGCAGCUUCUCUG
rnacentral:rRNA from 1 species